AUGGGACAAGGCCGACUGGAUGGACUGACCUAUUCGUCUAAUGUAUCUGUUCUCCACCGCAACAGCCUGCAUUGGGGACUAGAACGGUACCACUCUGACAUCAGCAAAAUUCUAGUGUUCGACGCUGCUGAGGAGACAUUUAGGUGGAUGAGCCGUCCCACCGGGAUGAGCUUUUGGACACUGUUGUUGGAGAUUGACAGUGUGCUUGCUAUGUGCACCAGUUACAAUGGCAUUGUUGUAGAUAUACACAUGAUGCAGGACUAUGAGGCUGAGGUCUGGGCCUUCAAGUACCGGAUUGACCUGUCGGCGCUGAAGGCGUCCCUACCGCUUGAUCUAAGGGUGAGAUGUUUGCGCAAGAUUGCUACGCUCGACAAGCAUGAGUUGCUCAUUGAGCUAGAUGUUGGGCAUCUUGUGCACUGUGAUAUUGAUGGCAAGUUUCUGGGACACGUGAAAUGGAGUGUGAGGAAAGCCGUGUGCACAUUACACCUUAUCGCUUCCAGGAGAAUAUCAUUCCACUUCCGUUCUUGGAGAUGCAAGAUGAUUAUGUGA
rnacentral:rRNA from 1 species